rnacentral:rRNA from 1 species
GACGAACGCUGGCGGCGUGCUUAACACAUGCAAGUCGAACGGCAAGGCCCUGCUUGCAGGGUACUCGAGUGGCGAACGGGUGAGUAACACGUGGGUGAUCUGCCCUGCACUUCGGGAUAAGCCGGGGAAACUGGGUCUAAUACCGGAUAGGAGCCAUUUUUAGUGUGAUGGUUGGAAAGUUUUUUCGGUGUAGGAUGAGCUCGCGGCCUAUCAGCUUGUUGGUGGGGUAAUGGCCUACCAAGGCGGCGACGGGUAGCCGGCCUGAGAGGGUGGACGGCCACAUUGGGACUGAGAUACGGCCCAGACUCCUACGGGAGGCAGCAGUGGGGAAUAUUGCACAAUGGGCGCAAGCCUGAUGCAGCGACGCCGCGUGUGGGAUGACGGCCUUCGGGUUGUAAACUCCUUUCGCUAGGGACGAAGCUUUUGUGACGGUACCUAGAUAAGAAGCACCGGCUAACUACGUG